GCCAGCAUGGCAUAGUGGAUAAUGUGUCAGACUAGGAUCCUGAGAAACCUGGGUUCUGAGCCUCACUCUGCCAUGGACA
rnacentral:tRNA from 1 species